CCUACGGGAGGCAGCAGUGAGGAAUAUUGGUCAAUGGGCGAGAGCCUGAACCAGCCAAGUCGCGUGAGGGAGUACUGCCCUAUGGGUUGUAAACCUCUUUUGUCGGGGAGCAAAAGCCGGACGUGUCCGGCUGUGAGAGUACCCGAAGAAAAAGCAUCGGCUAACUCCGUGCCAGCAGCCGCGGUAAUACGGAGGAUGCGAGCGUUAUCCGGAUUUAUUGGGGUUAAAGGGUGCGCAGGCGGAUUUUGAAGUCAGCGGUCAAAUCGUGGGGCUCAACCCCAUCCAGCCGUUGAAACUGGGGAUCUAGAGUGUGCGAGAGGUAUGCGGAAUGCGUGGUGUAGCGGUGAAAUGCAUAGAUAUCACGCAGAACCCCGAUUGCGAAGGCAGCAUACCGGUGCACAACUGACGCUCAGGCACGAAAGCGUGGGUAUCGAACAGGAUUAGAUACCCUUGUAGUC
rnacentral:rRNA from 1 species